UAGGAUAUAGUGUACUGGUAGCACGAAGAAUUUUGAAUUCUUAGGUUAGGUUCAAUUCCUGUUAUUCUAG
rnacentral:tRNA from 1 species